AUCCAUCUGUAGCUUCAAAUCGUGACGAUCUGGUGUUGACACGCACGUGUGAGACUUGUCUUCUCCCUCACACUGUGUUUCGUCCACACAUCACCCGUCUGACG